CUCUCUUUGUAAUAUAUAUAUAAGGAGUUGGGCCUGCUCGGUGAACAAUUGUUUUAACAGCUGCGGUAUUUUAACUGUACUAAGGUAGCAUAAUAAUUUGCCUUAUAAUUUGAGGCUGGAAUGAAUGGUUUGACGAAGGUUAAUCUGUCUCUACCUUAUUUUUUAGAAUUUAAUUUUAUAGUGAAAAAGCUUUAAUUUUUUAAAGGGACGAGAAGACCCUAUUGAGCUUAUAAUUUUAUUAUUAUUAUAUAAAUAUUUAUAUAAUAGUGUAUAAAUUUUAGUUGGGGUGAUUAAGGAAUAAAAGGAUAUUAACUUCCUUAGAUUAAAUAUUAUUUGAUCAAGUAACCAAUAUAUUAUUGCUUUUAUUAUAGUUACCAUAGGGAUAACAGCGUAAUUUGUUUAGAGAGUUCUUAUUAAAAAAUGAGAUUGCGACCUCGAUGUUGGAUUAAAGUAACCUUAAGGUGGAGAAGCUUUAUUAGGUAAAUCUGUUCGAUUUUUAAAACUUUACA
rnacentral:rRNA from 1 species